rnacentral:tRNA from 1 species
GGAUGUAUAGCUCAGUGGUAGAGAGUGUGCUUAGCAUGCACAAGGUCCUGGGUUCAAUCUCCAGUACCUCCA